CUGAAUAUACCGGUUCUCGUUAGAUCGCCGAAGUCAAGCAUCAUCAGUACUUGGCGCGGUCAGUACUUGGGUGGGUGACCACCUGGGAACACUGCGGGCCGU